rnacentral:rRNA from 1 species
UACGGAGGGUGCAAGCGUUACUCGGAAUCACUGGGCGUAAAGGGCGCGUAGGCGUCCUAUUAAGUCUCCCGUGAAAGCCCCGAGCUCAACUUGGGAACUGCGGGGGAAACUGGUAGGAUAGAGUGUGGAAGAGGUCGAUGGAAUUUCUGGUGUAGGGGUAAAAUCCGUAGAGAUCAGAAGGAAUACCGAUGGCGAAAGCGAUCGGCUGGGACACUACUGACGCUGAGGCGCGAAAGCGUGGGGAGCAAAC